rnacentral:misc_RNA from 1 species
GAAACGCGAAAGGUAAUGCGAAUUGCAGAAUCAGUGAGUCAUCGAAUCUUUGAACGCACAUUGCGCCUCUCGGUAUUCCGGGAGGCACGCCUGUUCGAGCGCCAUUACACACCCCAAGCUCUGCUUGAUGUUGGACGACGUCUGUAACGAGACGGGUCUGGAACGCGUAGGCGCCGCCGGCGGACCACGAGCGUAGCAAGACGCAAGUCAUCGCUUCUGUGGGACCGUCGGACGGCCGUCGAGAGCUCCUGGUAACGCAGGAGUGGACAACCAUUUCGAGUUUGGCCUCGGAUCAGGCGGGGAUACCCGCUGAACUUAA